rnacentral:rRNA from 1 species
AUUGAACGCUGGCGGCAGGCUUAACACAUGCAAGUCGAGCGGGGGAAGGUAGCUUGCUACCGGACCUAGCGGCGGACGGGUGAGUAAUGCUUAGGAAUCUGCCUAUUAGUGGGGGACAACAUCUCGAAAGGGAUGCUAAUACCGCAUACGUCCUACGGGCGAAAGCAGGGGAUCUUCGGACCCUGCGCUAAUAGAUGAGCCUAAGUCGGAUUAGCGAGUUGGUGGGGUAAAGGCCUACCAAGGCGACGAUCUGUAGCGGGUCUGAGAGGAUGCUCCGCCACACUGGGACUGAGACACGGCCCAGACUCCUACGGGAGGCAGCAGUGGGGAAUAUUGGACAAUGGGGGGAACCCUGAUCCAGCCAUGCCGCGUGUGUGAAGAAGGCCUUAUGGUUGUAAAGCACUUUAAGCGAGGAGGAGGCUACUUUAGUUAAUACCUGGAGAUAGUGGACGUUACUCGCAGAAUAAGCACCGGCUAACUCUGUGCCAGCCGCCGCCGUAA